rnacentral:rRNA from 1 species
UGGGGGAUAUUGCACAAUGGAGGAAACUCUGAUGCAGCAACGCCGCGUGAAGGAUGAAGGUCUUCGGAUUGUAAACUUUUGUACUUGGGGGACGAUAAUGACGGUACCCAAGCAGCAAGCUCCGGCUAACUACGUGCCAGCAGCCGCGGUAAUACGUAGGGAGCAAGCGUUGUCCGGAUUUACUGGGUGUAAAGGGUGCGUAGGCGGCUAUGCAAGUCAGUUGUGAAAAGCUAUGGGCUCAACCCAUAGCCUGCAAUUGAAACUGCGUGGCUUGAGUGAAGUAGAGGUAGGUGGAAUUCCCGGUGUAGCGGUGAAAUGCGUAGAGAUCGGGAGGAACACCAGUGGCGAAGGCGACCUACUGGGCUUUAACUGACGCUGAGGCACGAAAGCAUGGGUAGCAAACAGGAUUAGAUACCCUGGUAGUCCAUGCCGUAAACGAUGAUUACUAGGUGUGGGGGGUCUGACCCCCUCCGUGCCGGAGUUAACACAAUAAGUAAUCCACCUGGGGGAGUACGGCCGC